AGUGCACUUCGUGGCUCGGCUUAGGCUUCCAGCAUCUUUCCGUCUCUCUCGCUCUCGCAAACGGGCAGAGACCAACCACCAAACAACAACAACAACCUGGGGAUCGCUGCACCCUGCAACUUUUCGUUUUUCAAUAGCAUCGGCAGAUAUUGUCCAAGCACCUGACUUCCAAGUGCUGAUUUGUUCUUUCCCCCCUCUGGGCUCGUCUGGACAACGGGUAGCCUCGACUUUUGUGACUGGGGAACAGCGCAGUCAUCGCCAGUCGGUUUCCAGGAUCAGUACGGUUCAAAACCAAUUCCGCAUUCCAUCGUAUUUAUUUUUUUUCGAUUUUUCAAAUCGGUUUUGCGACCAAAUUGUGUUGACCAACGCUCGCAACAAGAUGAGGUUCUUCUGGCUCGGCUGCUUCCUCUUCACCUUGUUGAGCAAUUCGAGCAACGGAGGAAUUCUACGCCAAACACUCGGAGAACCUGAAGGACCACCUGUGGGAGAGUCCGGAUUCCAGCUGAAUAAGAGGUCGGAACCGCAGCCACCUUCAACUCAUGGCAUCAACAUCAAAGCGCCGGCCCCACCGCCGCCCGGUGAAGGACCGCAACCGCCAGCCGCACCGGAUCCUUAUUUGUUGGAAAUAUUUGAAAAAAGUCCAGAGACGUUUCCGGCCGCCUACAUCCAGUGGCAGGAGCAGCAGCAACAAGAGCAAGGACAGGACAACGAAAGAGAAGGACGAUCGGCGAAUAGCAAAAGAAUUACCUACGAUCAAUUUGUGACAGCCGCCGUCGUCGCCCGUUUGGAUCUCCAGCGCUCAGUUUACACCAUGUUCGCACCGUCCGACGCUUAUUUGAACAGCCUCGGCGUUUCGCUAUCAGCCGUGGCUCUCAAAGACCCCGAAUGUGUCGGCCAAAUCGUGCGAUCUCACACCGUCCUCGGUCGAGUGACGCUCUCUGACAGGAUGGAAGACGUGGCCAUGUCACUAGAGGACUCACCCGUGUUCAUCUGCGCCAAAGAAGCCAACGGGGUGGAAGUGUUGCGAGCCAACAUUGAAACCGAUUACGGAGUCGUGCACAUCAUCGACGGCCUGAUGGAUCGUCCUCGCUUGAUGGAUUUCUGCCCGUCUCUGAGACAGCGGUUAUCGUCCCCCGAAGGCCAGCAGCAGCAGCAGCAGCCAGUCGAAAACGUUAUAACCAAUCACAGUAUUAGCCUCCGAAAAGUGUCCGACCAAGAUCUGCUGGCCAGUUUGCAGUACGACCCGUCCAACGAAAUCGACCACAACGCAUUCGAUGUCGUCGUCGUGCCGUUCCCCAAAGAGACAUACCCUUCACCGGAGGCCAACAUUCCGCUGGAGCUGUUAGUCAACAUCGACAACUUCGCGCACGCUGUGAAACUAACUUGGCAAACCGAGGACAAUGUAAUAGCCACUCUGCAGAGUUUGGGAGCGUCGACAUUUCUGGCGCUGCUGGAGCGCAGCGGCUUGAUGGAUACGCUCACCCGUCAAGGCCCGUGGACGGUGUUCGCACCUGAUAACGAGGCGUGGCAGGCGCUGCCGAAGGAGAUCUUCGACCAUAUUGUCAGCGACCCGGUUCUGCUCAGACAAAUCCUCACCUACCACGUCGUCCAGGCCAAUGCGACCAGGGUGCAGCUCAUCAACGACGAGAAGCUGCCGUCGCUCUACGAUAGCCGACCCAUCCACAUCAAUUUCUACACGGACGGAUGGGCCAGCUGGUACACUGCUUCUGGCAGCCAGAUAUCGGACCUGGAUGAACUGGCGUCUAAUGGAGUCGUUCACGUCGUCAAGUCCGUUCUUCUUCCGCCUCUGGGUGAUUUCUACUCGGUUGUCAAAUGGACGCCGGCUUUACAAACAGCUUUUUCGAUGUUGGAGAGCGUCUCCAAUCCUGCUUUUACCAACAAUUCCGUAUCUUUGACGGCUUUCCUACCGGUCGAUAGCCCAGUGCUGGACGCUUUACUAGUCGGCUCAAGCCCGUCUGAUGUAGCAGACAUAUUGAGGCGCCAUGUCGUUCGCGGCACAUGGUUCACUUCGGGCUUGAUUGAUGGCGAUCGCUUGUUCACCUUCGACGAUCAGGUCCUGACAGUGCGCCGCGACGCGGAUUGUGUAGGAAUCAACGGAGCCUGCAUCGCCGUUCGAGACAUCACCUUGACCAAUGGCGUUCUGCACGUCGUCGACAAUCUAAUACUAUGAAAAAUCUGAUCGAUAGCGUGAUCGCUUUUUCGAUUGUAGGCCACCUAUUACCGUGUGGCUCUAAGCCACGUUUGUGCUUUCCGUGUCGCUCAUGCAGGUCGCUUUUCUUUUAAGUCCAAAUAGUCGGCUGAUUUUCAAAAUGAUUGAAUUGGAUAGAAAAAAAAACAUCAAAAGUAUCGGACGAGCGCUCCGAGCGCUAUAUACUCUGAUUUGAAUGUGUGUUACGCAAGUUGAUGUGUACCCGUUUCCGCGCGCAACUUGACCGUCGGGCUUUCCAUUCGGUUCAACUGACUGUGAGUAACGCAAAGUUUUCGCUUGGGCAGAAAUGAUCAAUUUCAAAAAGGAACAAAAGACUUGGACCGUGCUCUUUUCAUCCGCCACGUCCUAGUCGAUUAUUUAAGAAACAAGCGGGAGCAGUGGUGCACGCAGGCGAGUUGAUUGCAUAGUGAAGCGCACUAUCGCGAUUGGCGAAGAAUAUUACAAAAAUAUGCACUGGCGCAAUAUCCAUCCAGCAGCAGUUCAAUAAUAAAAAAACAAAACAAAAAACAAAAAACAAAAAAAAAAAGACUUGUGAAGCAAAGUGAAGCUGUACAAUUUCUUUAUGAGUCGCCUGGUGGGAGAUUUAAAUUCAAGGAGGGACCUUCGGCUCUAUAUGGAAUUUCGCUGUCGUGAAAUCGGCAAUAACCUGCUUGUAUACACACGGCCAGCAGACUUUCCAUUUAAACUCAUCUUUUUUGAAAAUAGGAUGAACAAGAAACAAAACAAAAUAUUUAUGCAGACUUUCCUUCUGCGCAAAAGGCUGAAAUCUUAAACAACAAGCUAACAGUUUAAGUAUAGAGAAACCAAAUUUGUGUCUAUAUGGGUUUGUUUUUUUCGCAUCGCGUGCCACUGGCAGUUUAUUAUACAUUUCACCGCGUGAUGAUUGCCAUACGAGGAGGUGCCGGUGUGGCGGCAGGUCCCCCUUGGUCAUAAACAUUAACUGUUUGCACUUUGCUUGAAGUGUUUAAAGUUAAAAUAUUCUUGAAUUUGGUUGUUCGCCCACAGACAAAGUUGUGAGGUACAAAAAACAAAAACAGGCCUGAUCUGUAUUCAUUUGACAAAUACAAAACGUCGAUGUCAAACUGGGACAACUCGCUAGAAAAGAACAAAGAAGACGACACCGGUAAAAGUAAGUUGGCGACCGCGGUCGUGAAUUAAAAGAGAAGGUAUACGCUAAAUAACCAGGAGGUGCCUGUGCCCGUGUGGCGGCAGAUUCCUUUUGGUCAUCGAAAUGUUCUCGUUGCACUUUGCUUGAAGUGUCAAGUGUUCAAAGUUAAAAGAAUCGGAUUGUUUACCCACAAGACAAAGUUGUGAGAUACGAAAAAACAAAACCGGGCCUGAUCUGCAGUCGUUUUACAAAUACUGUAUAAGCAACCACUUCCAUUGGUUUUUUAAUGGACCCUAACUGAGUCAACAAAAACGGCAAGAGAAAACAAUUCCAGAUAAUCGCCUAGCUCAGGGAUAAUCGUAUACUAUCUAACGAUUUAUAACCGACACCACCAAACAGUCAAAAAGGAAGGACAGAGAUAAAUGUUUCCUACCUUUAUGCACGGGAAAUACAGCCAGGCAUCCACAAGUGCUCCGUUUGCUGAAAAGUUGAAUCCACCAGGCGAGAAAAAGGUUGUCCUGGAUCCUCGUGUCGCACACACAUAGGUGUGCACGAGAACAAAGGGUAUUUAAAGAAAAGGGAAGAAGAGAUUCGUAACUCGUCGAGAAUCGGUUGUUUUUACCAUCUAACAGGGUGUUGUUUAUCUGAAGAAAUAAAAAAAAAUGGGUUACGAAACAUAUUUGCAGAAACAACAAUAAUAAGUAAAUAAAAAUUUGAAAAUGAGACAGUGACAAACAUUAAUUGUUAAAAAACAGGAGAAUUUGAGUUUCCCAUGUAACAUCUAGCAGGUCACAUGGUCACAAGUAAAUGAAAGUAACGAAAAUCAUUACCCAAGUGAUGAUUCUGAGAUUGCUGUUGAUGAAAGGUCAAUACCAGAACAAAAAAGUUCUGUUGUUACGAUGGCUGGCUCAGGCCUCAAAUCUGCAAAAAGGAGAAAAUUACAUAUUAGUGCAAACAAACUGUCGUGCAUUGACAGGGGGCAUACAUAACACAUGCUAGUCAGGAACUAACAUUUCACAUGAACAGGUUUAACUCUGGUUUAGCUCGAAUAAUCAUUCUAUUUGUAAUCUACCUGCUGCUUUUAUUUACCUGCUAAACAUCAUGGAAUGUGCAUUAAGAGAUUCUAUGAACACGCGACUCAGGACUCACGACACAGCGACACACUCUCGUCCAGAGUUGACUC